GGGAUUCCCCUAGUAACUGCGAGUGAAGCGGGAAGAGCUCAAAUUUAAAAUCUGGCGGCUUCGCCGUCCGAGUUGUAAUUUAGAGAAGCGUUUUCCGCGCCGGACCGUGUACAAGUCUCCUGGAACGGAGCGUCAUAGAGGGUGAGAAUCCCGUCUUUGACACGGAUGCCCGGUGCUCUGUGAUACGCUCUCGAAGAGUCGAGUUGUUUGGGAAUGCAGCUCAAAAUGGGUGGUGAACUCCAUCUAAAGCUAAAUAUUGGCGAGAGACCGAUAGCGAACAAGUACCGUGAGGGAAAGAUGAAAAGCACUUUGGAAAGAGAGUGAAACAGUACGUGAAAUUGCUGAAAGGGAAACGCUUGAAGUCAGUCGCGUCCGCCGGGAUUCAGCCUUUGUGGUGUACUUUCCGGUGGACGGGCCAGCAUCACUUUUGACCGCCGGAAAAGGGCGGGGGGAAUGUGGCACCUCCGGGUGUGUUAUAGCCCUCCGUCGUAUACGGUGUUCGGGAGUGAGGACCGCCUUUUGCAGGAUGCUGGCGUAAUGGCUUUAAACGACCCGU
rnacentral:sRNA from 1 species